AACGAACGCUGGCGGCAGGCUUAACACAUGCAAGUCGAGCGCCCCGCAAGGGGAGCGGCAGCCGGGUGAGUACCGCGUGGGAACGUACCUUUUGGUUCGGAACAACUCCGUGAAACUGGCUCUAAUACCGGAUAAGCCCUAACGGGGAAAGAUUUAUCGCCGAAAGAUCGGCCCGCGUCUGAUUAGCUAGUUGGUGAGGUAACGGCUCACCAAGGCGACGAUCAGUAGCUGGUCUGAGAGGAUGAUCAGCCACACUGGGACUGAGACACGGACCAGACUCCUACGGGAGGCAGCAGUGGGGAAUAUUGGACAAUGGGCGAAAGCCUAAUCCAGCCAUGCCGCGUGAGUGAUGAAGGUCUUAGGGUUGUAAAGCUCUUUUGUCCGGGAAGAUAAUGACUGUACCGGAAGAAUAAGCCCCGGCUAACUUCGUG
rnacentral:rRNA from 1 species